rnacentral:rRNA from 1 species
UACGGAGGGAGCUAGCGUUAUUCGGAAUUACUGGGCGUAAAGCGCACGUAGGCGGCUUUGUAAGUAAGAGGUGAAAGCCCAGAGCUCAACUCUGGAAUUGCCUUUUAGACUGCAUCGCUUGAAUCAUGGAGAGGUCAGUGGAAUUCCGAGUGUAGAGGUGAAAUUCGUAGAUAUUCGGAAGAACACCAGUGGCGAAGGCGGCUGACUGGACAUGUAUUGACGCUGAG